UCACAAGAAUGGGAGAAUAAGUCCUGGCUACAUCCAGGACGAUGACGGUACCAUUGUAAGCUCCGGCUAACUCCGUGCCAGCAGCCGCGGUAAUACGGGGGGAGCAAGCGUUGUUCGGAUUUACUGGGCGUAAAGGGCGCGUAGGCGGCGCGACAAGUCACUUGUGAAAUCUCCGGGCUCAACUCGGAACGGCCAAGUGAUACUGUCGUGCUAGAGUGCGGAAGGGGCAACUGGAAUUCUCGGUGUAGCGGUGAAAUGCGUAGAUAUCGAGAGGAACACCUGCGGCGAAGGCGGGUUGCUGGGCCGACACUGACGCUGAGGCGCGAAAGCUAGGGGAGCGAACGGGAUUAGAUACCCCGGUAGUCCUAGCCUUAAACGAUGAAUGCUUGGUGUCCGGGGUUAGAUAGUCCCCGGGUGCCGUCGCUAACGCUAUAAGCAUUCCGCCUGGGGAGUACGGUCGCAAGACUGAAACUCAAAGGAAUUGACGGGGACCCGCACAAGCGGUGGAGCAUGUGGUUUAAUUCGACGCAACGCGAAGAACCUUACCUGGGCUAGAAUGCCUCUGACAUCCCUAGAGAUAGGGCUUCCUAGGGAAACCUAGGCAGAGUGCAAGGUGCUGCAUGGCUGUCGUCAGCUCGUGUCGUGAGAUGUUGGGUUAAGUCCCGCAACGAGCGCAACCCUUGUCAAUAGUUGCCAGCGGUUCGGCCGGGCACUCUAUUGAAACUGCCGUUGAUAAAACGGAGGAAGGUGGGGAUGACGUCAAGUCCUCAUGGCCUUUAUGUCCAGGGCUACACACGUGCUACAAUGGCAAGUACAAAGCGCUGCAAAAGAGUAAUCUGGAGCCAAUCGCAAAAAGCUUGUCUCAGUUCGGAUUGGAGUCUGCAACUCGACUCCAUGAAGUUGGAAUCGCUAGUAAUCGCAGAUCAGCACGCCGCGGUGAAUACGUUCCCGGG
rnacentral:rRNA from 1 species